UACGAAGGGGGCUAGCGUUGUUCGGAAUUACUGGGCGUAAAGGGCGCGUAGGCGGUGUGUCAAGUCAGGCGUGAAAGCCCCGGGCUCAACCUGGGAACAGCGCUUGAGACUGGCACGCUCGAGUUCGGGAGAGGAUGGUGGAAUUCCCAGUGUAGAGGUGAAAUUCGUAGAUAUUCGGAAGAACACCAGUGGCGAAGGCGGCUCACUGGACCGGCAUUGACGCUGAGGUGCGAAAGCGUGGGGAGCAAACAGG
rnacentral:rRNA from 1 species